GAGAAAUGAAAACAAGCACAUCUUGUGGGUGGCACUUGGGACAAUCUUCCUGAAGCACAGCAGCUCCCCUGCACAGGGACCCAGACCCCCCAGAGGCUGAGCAGAGAGAGCUGCAAGGCUGCAGAGACACUGGAGAAGAACCAAGCAAAGCCAUGAUAUUUCCAUGGAAAUGUCAGAGCUCUCCAAUUGGCUUAUGGAAGAUCUUCAAGUUGUGGAUCUGGGCAGUGUUCUGUUGUGAUUUCCUGGUACAUCAUGGAACUCACUGUUGGACUUACCAUUAUUCCAAAAAUUCCAUGAUAUGGGACAGGGCUAGGAAAUUCUGCCAGGCAAAUUACACGGAUUUAGUUGCCAUCCAAAACAAAGAAGAGAUCGAGUACUUGGAGAAGACACUGCCCUUCAACCAGAAUUACUACUGGAUAGGCAUUCGGAAGAUAGGGAAUAAGUGGAUAUGGGUGGGAACCAGAAAGCCUCUCACUAAGGAAGCAGAGAACUGGGGAGCCGGGGAGCCCAACAACAAGAAGUCCAAGGAAGACUGCGUAGAGAUCUACAUCAAGAGGCUCAAAGACUCGGGAAAGUGGAAUGAUGACUCCUGCCACAAAAAGAAGGCAGCACUGUGCUACACAGCUUCUUGCACACCAAGCUCCUGCGGUGACCACGGAGAAUGUGUGGAAGUCAUCAAUAAUUACACUUGCAACUGUGAGGUGGGAUAUUAUGGGCCCCAGUGCCAGUUUGUGGUCCAGUGUCCACCUCUGGAGGCCCCAGAACUGGGUACCAUGAAGUGUACUCACCCUCUGGGAAAAUUCACCUUUAGCUCACAUUGUGCCUUUCACUGCUCUAAUGGAACAAACCUAAUCGGGAUGGAAGAAACAACUUGUGGACCAUCUGGAAACUGGUCAUCUCUAGAGCCAGCCUGUCAAGCAAUUCAGUGUGAACCUUUAAUAGCACCUGAUUUGGGGACCAUGGACUGUAGCCACCCUCUGGGCAACUUCAGCUUUACCUCUGUGUGUACCUUCAGUUGUUCAGAAGGAACUCAGCUAAUUGGAGAGAAUAAUGCUACUUGUGGACCAUUUGGAAUGUGGUCUGGUCAUAGUCCAGUAUGUCAAAAAUUGGACCAAAGUUUCUCAAAGAUCAAGGAAGGUGACUAUAACCCCCUUUUCAUCCCAGUGGCAGUCAUGGUCACUGCGUUUUCCGGGCUCGCCUUUAUCAUCUGGCUGGCAAGGCGACUAAGGAAGAGUAUGUGAAUUUAACUUCAUAUGAAAAUAAACCAACUUUAAAGUGAGAAAAGAAAGAAGCCCACAGGAAAUUAGGAAAGAGAGCUCAGAAAAGAGUGGAUGGCCCAUACUAAUCCGCCCUGUGUGAAAGAAAGCUCUGAAGAUACUAAAGAUAAUUGGAAAAUGACUUCAAAUUCCUCCAUGAAGAGCUUUGUGAGGUGGUGUCUCCUACAUCACAGAUGAAGUGUGUGUCCUACAGUGUAUCUGGAAGGAUGUCUACGUGAUCAACAGCCCCUUCUGCUCCUGUUUUGCCCCAAUCACUCCCACCCCUGACCCACAGUUGCUGUUUAUAUAGCUCAACUUAUGCUAUCUUUUCUGUAGCGAAACAAGACUGGGGUGGGGUGGGGACAGAUAAAUACAUCUGAUUGUGCUCGUUCCUGUCUCUUAUUUCCUAUUUCAAUUCAAUGUGGUACAUGACAAUACUUCUAAAUACAGUGAUAAGUUGAUGCAUUUUUCUUGCAGAUCAAACUUUAUCUCCCUGUUUUUUUGUAUACUAUUUUACAGAAAAUUCCUAAAGUUGAUGUUAUCCUGCCCUUCCAAUUUGGGGAAUUAAUCGGGUCUUGCUCAAGUUAGGAAAGUCCUGUCUGCUCUGUACUCCCCCUCUGUAAAUAAAGGUCGUCUUGUAACUA